GGUCUGUUCCUUUGUUUUUUAGUGUUACACUUUUGAGUGUAAGUGUAAGAAAUUCUAUGGACAUUUGAGUGUAAAAUGACAGCGGAUGUGACAGCGGCUCAUGACAGCGGACAGUAUUAAACGAAAAUUAUCGGUGUGCCAAUCAAGCAAAGGGACAAGGAACUUCCGAAUAUGGCCUAACUGGGGGCACAUAACAUAACAUAACCUAAUCCUAAUAUUUACAUUUGUAAAGAAUAUCCUGUUUGUUUUUAUUGUCGAUUGUGCAGCGAAAUUGUGUGCAGCAAAUCAAAUAUAAAGUAGUUUAUCGCCUACAGAACUGAAUUAGUCCAUAGCAGUUAUCAGUGUUUCUUUCUUGGGAAGCUUAUACAUGUAACUUGUAUUGUUGUAAAUUGUGGGAGUAGGGCAGACAGGGAAAAGUCUUAUUUUGUACUGUUCCCAAGGCUCCCCAUGCAAUACAUUUAAAUGAAUUAUCCAAACAAAGCUGGGGACAAUGGAUAAAAGCCACAAGAAGAAGAGAUAUAAGGGAACUAAAAUUAAAAUAUGAAAAGUAAACAUUUUAUAAGUGGAACAACCACCAGAUAUUUAAAAGGUAUAAAAAGAAGAAACUGCUGGAAUUUCAAAACAAAUGUGUUUGACUAGUAAAGAUUUGGAUAAAUAACAGGAGUUACUUUGGGCUAUAGCUAAGUGCAGAUUUAUUUCCUUGUGGCUUCCUAUGUUAAUUCUUAUUAAUUAUACACUUAAAUAUGUUUUUAGUCUCAGGAAGAUUUUAUAUUUGAUUAUUUUUGAAUAAACAUUAUUAUUAUUACCUUAAUUUCCAUUAAAUAAAUUAACUGUAAUCAAUAAAGUAAUCGUUUAAUUGUUAAUAAAUUAUCAAGUAUGA